rnacentral:rRNA from 1 species
GUGGGGAAUAUUGGACAAUGGGCGAAAGCCUGAUCCAGCCAUGCCGCGUGUGUGAAGAAGGUCUUCGGAUUGUAAAGCACUUUAAGUUGGGAGGAAGGGCAGUAAGUUAAUACCUUGCUGUUUUGACGUUACCGACAGAAUAAGCACCGGCUAACUUCGUGCCAGCAGCCGCGGUACUACGAAGGGUGCAAGCGUUAAUCGGAAUUACUGGGCGUAAAGCGCGCGUAGGUGGUUUUGUAAGUUGGAGGUGAAAUCCCCGGGCUCAACCUGGGAACUGCCUCCAAAAAUGCAUGACUAGAGUACGGUAGAGGGUAGUGGAAUUUCCUGUGUAGCGGUGAAAUGCGUAGAUAUAGGAAGGAACACCAGUGGCGAAGGCGACUACCUGGACUGAUACUGACACUGAGGUGCGAAAGCGUGGGGAGCAAACAGGAUUAGAAACCCUUGUAGUCC